ACCUGAGCUUGUCAUGGAAGUGG
rnacentral:piRNA from 1 species